rnacentral:misc_RNA from 1 species
ACAAACUUGGUCAUUUAGAGGAAGUAAAAGUCGUAACAAGGUCUCCGUAGGUGAACCUGCGGAGGGAUCAUUACCGAGCACCCGCCUCCUAGGCGGACCUCACACCCACUGUGAUCGAUACGACCGUUGCCUCGGCGGGCCGCCCUAGGCGCCCGCCAAAGGCCCUCGAGACCCUGAACAUCUGCGCCGUCUGAGCAACUUAGAAUCAUAAAAACUUUCAACAACGGAUCUCUUGGCUCUGGCAUCGAUGAAGAACGCAGC